rnacentral:rRNA from 1 species
GACGAACGCUGGCGGCGUGCUUAACACAUGCAAGUCGAACGGAAAGGCCCUGCUUUUGUGGGGUGCUCGAGUGGCGAACGGGUGAGUAACACGUGAGUAACCUGCCCUUGACUUUGGGAUAACUUCAGGAAACUGGGGCUAAUACCGGAUAGGAGCUCCUGCUGCAUGGUGGGGGUUGGAAAGUUUCGGCGGUUGGGGAUGGACUCGCGGCUUAUCAGCUUGUUGGUGGGGUAGUGGCUUACCAAGGCUUUGACGGGUAGCCGGCCUGAGAGGGUGACCGGCCACAUUGGGACUGAGAUACGGCCCAGACUCCUACGGGAGGCAGCAGUGGGGAAUAUUGCACAAUGGGCGGAAGCCUGAUGCAGCAACGCCGCGUGCGGGAUAACGGCCUUCGGGUUGUAAACCGCUUUCGCCUGUGACGAAGCGUGAAUGACGGUAAUGGGUAAAGAAGCACCGGCUAACUACGUG